rnacentral:lncRNA from 1 species
GAGAGAGAGAGAGAGAGGAAGACGACGACCUUUGUAUCCUUCUCUCUCUUCUUCUCUUCCUCCUCUUUAGCCUUCGUCUCCUCUCGCUCUCGCCUCUCGCCUUCGCCUUCUCUCAAUCGGGCGCGCACCUUUCUGUGUCUGUGUGUGUGGUCGUCUCUUUCCUCGCGUGCUCUGCCGCUGCGCAAGAAUCAAAAGGCGCCACUAGAGGGUGUGGCUUGAGUUCGAGACCAAUCCGACCAUUCGCUGUGAUCUAAAAAGAGAGGGAGAGGGAGAGAGGCAAAGCGAAGUGGGAGGGCUUGGCGGCAAUCCUUGCGAAUCAUCCCAAGAUUCUGUCUUUUCUUUGCUGCGAUUGUUUCUUUGUAGGGGAGGGAGU